GAGUAAAGAUUUCGGUCGCUUUGGGAGGAGCUCGCUUACUAUCAGCUUGUUGGUAGGGUAAUGGCCUACCAAGGCUAUGACGGUUAGGGGGUGUGAGAGCAUGACCCCCAGCAUUGGCACUGAAACACUGGCCAAACACCUACGGGUGGCUGCAGUCGAGAAUCUUCCACAAUGGGGGAAACCCUGAUGGAGCGAUGCUGCGUGCGGGAUGAAGGCCUUCGGGUUGUAAACCGCUUUUGUAGGGGACGAAAUUUUUGACGGUACCCUUUCGAAUAAGAGGUUGCUAACUCUGUGCCAGCAGCAGCGGUAAUACAGAGACCUCAAGCGUUAUCCGGAUUUACUGGGCGUAAAGCGUCUGUAGGGGGUUUAUUAAGUUCCAAGUAAAAUUUCAAGGCUCAACUUUGAAUUCGCUUGGAAAACUAAUAAACUGGAGUCUAGCAGAGGUGCAUGGAACUUGUGGUGUAGGAGUGAAAUCCGUUGAUAUCACAAGGAACGCCAAAGGCGAAGGCAUUGCACUGGGCUAGCACUGACCCUGAGAGACGAAAGCGUGGGGAGCAAAACGGAUUAGAUACCCGUGUAGUCCACGCCCUAAACGAUGAAUGCUAAAUGUUCGGGGAUUCGACCCCCUGGGUGUUACAGCUAACGCGUUAAGCAUUCCGCCUGGGAAGUACGGCCGCAAGGCUAAAACUCAAAGGAAUAGACGGGGAUCCGCACAAGCGGUGGAGCGUCUGGUUUAAUUCGACAGUAAGCGUGGUACCUCACCAGGGUUUGACAUCCCUUGACAGCCUUGGAAACAAGGUUUCCUUCGGGCAAGGUGACAGGUGCUGCAUGGUCGUCGUCAGUUCGUGCCGUGAGGUGUUCCGUUAAGUCGGGAAACGAACGAAACCCCUAUUGCAUGUUACAAUUUCUCAUGCAAGACUGUCCGGAUAUACUGGGAGGAAGGUGGGGGUGACGUCAGAUCUGCAUGGUCCUUAUACCCUGGGCGACACAGGCGCUACAAUGGCAGAGACAAAGGGUUGCAAAACCGCAAGGUGAAGCUAAUCCCAAAAACUUUGUCUAAGUUCGGAUUGAAGGCUGCAAUUCGCCUUCAUGAAGCUGGAAUCGCUAGUAAUCGUGAAUCAGCCACGUCACGGUGAAUAUGUUCCCGGAUCUUGUACUCACCGCCCGUCACACCAAGAGAGUUGGUAGCUCCCGAAG
rnacentral:rRNA from 1 species